UGGGGGAUAACGCAUCGAAAGAUGUGCUAAUACCGCAUAUCUCUCAGGAGGAAAGCAGGGGAUCGAAAGACCUUGCGCUAAAGGAGCGGCUGAUGUCUGAUUAGCUAGUUGGUGGGGUAAAGGCUUACCAAGGCAACGAUCAGUAGCUGGUCUGAGAGGACGACCAGCCACACUGGGACUGAGACACGGCCCAGACUCCUACGGGAGGCAGCAGUGGGGAAUUUUGGACAAUGGGCGAAAGCCUGAUCCAGCCAUGCCGCGUGAGUGAAGAAGGCCUUCGGGUUGUAAAGCUCUUUUAGUCGGAAAGAAAGAGUCAUAGUAAAUAGCUAUGAUUUAUGACGGUACCGACAGAAAAAGCACCGGCUAAC
rnacentral:rRNA from 1 species